CGCCCAACUUCGACGACGGCGGUUGCUGUUGCUCUGGACCCGGUUUUGCAACCAAAAAAAAAACCAAGCCGAACCGAUUCCCAACAACAAAAAAAAACCCCGUUUUAUUCGCCGAGCGAGUCUCUCUUCCAGCGGGUCUCCGAUGGCGAUUGGGCGGCCUGUCGUCUCCACCAUCACCGCAGCACCACCGACGGCUGCUCCUCUUCGACCCGGCCGCUGUCAUGCCAAUUCAUUGGCUCGAUCUCAACAUCAUUAAUUUAUUGCCUCUUCCUUCACACAUCUGGCGCCAUGGCGCCCGUACGUCUGAUUCGUCACAGUGCUGGAAAUUAAACCUAGGUCAAGCUGCCUUAAUCAGGAAUCAUGCCAAGGGCAUAGAAACAACGUCGGGGGUCCAUUCAGAUACGAAAGGGGGUGAAGAUCUGGUCCCGGGCGUUAAAUUUCCCGAGUUCGAACUUCGAAGACUAGUGGAAUGAGACUGAGCGAGCUCGUCGCAUCUUUCCCUAUACGACGGGCCCAUGAGAAGGGCGGAGGAGCUUUGCGAGCAGCAGUGGCGGUCCCGGCCGGACACUAGCUUACUCAGUGAUUCACUGAAGGGAGCCAGAAAAACAAAAGAGAACUAUUCAAGUUGAUACAUUUAUCUCUUGCGAAAUUUGGUUCAUGGUAGUUCAGUUUCAGACAAGGUUGAUAAAUCUUAAGAGUGCCUGACAAAUUAAUCUUGGAAAAUGGCUUUGAAUGGCUGAUCCGAUCGAAGAGUAAGGCUCAUAUCUUGAGACAAUGGUAGGCAAACCAAGAAAAUGAGACAGCUCUAUAACAGUUUAAUUGAUAAAGAACACUGGCAAGUCUGAAUUAGGUAUGCCAAAUUUCAGGCUUUGGCUAUACCCAAGCCAAGGAAACAGGAGAUUAGAAGAAUGAUCAGAUCAAUUAUUAGGAAUGGGAAAAGAAGAUGAUCCAAAGAUGCCAAGAUAAAUUUGUAAUCCAAUUUUCUGCUUUAAUUUGCUGCUUGUAUUAGUCUGUGCCUGAGUGGUCUAUCAAAGCUAUUAUUGAUACCAUAACACAGAAUAUGCUGUGAUUUAAAAAACUAAAGACUCAUGCUAUUCUCUGUACGAUAACUAGAAAGAUGUUACUUUGUGGAUGCCCAUUAUCUAUACCUUUUUUUUGUUUCUUUUCUUUUUAACUAUGUUUACUCAGCAGGGGACUUUGAGUGAGCAUUGGCUGUUCCAGAACAUUUGCCCAGAGUUGGAGGUGUCAGUCUAGUUUAGCACAUAUCAAAUUGCCAAGGGUAGUGAAGAACACUACAUGGAAUACAUAUAUUAGCGACUGAUAUUUCGGUCGCUAAUUGUGACUAGCGACCCAUUAACGACGAAAAUAUUCAGUUGCGAAAAUUCCGUCACGAAUCCAUAUAGCAAUGGAUUUUGUGUUCUGUUGCUAAAUUUAGCAACGAAAAUUAAAAUCCGUUGUCAAAGUUAAUGACAAAAAUUA